CAACCCUCAAGCCUAGCUUGGUAUUGGGCCUCGUCGUUUUGGCGGGCCUUAAAAUCAGUAACAGUGUCGUAGAGGCCCUGAGCGUAGUACAUAUCCUCGCUAUAGGGACUCCCACGGCCUUUAACCCUCACUUCUAA
rnacentral:misc_RNA from 1 species